CUGAGUGGCCUUCCUGUUGCAUUUGACAACUCGGUGAAAACCAUACAUGAAAUGAGAGAGCAGAUUGCGAUCUGCCUCCUGGAAAACACAGACGACUUGACUGAACUUUGCCAUCUUUGUGGGCUGGUGAAUGGUGACACCCACUGGAUUGGGUGUGACUUGUGCCCACGAUGGUAUCACCGAAACUGCCUGAAAAAGAAAACAGGGAAAAAGUUUGUCUGUGAAGUGUGUCAGAAGAAGAAAUAAUGUCUUCAUUUGGCUGAUUACUACUUUGAUUUUUUUAUUUUUUUAUUUUUUUUUUAUUUUUUUUUUUAUUUUAUGGUAUUUGGGGCAAACACCGGGCAGCUGUAUGCCUAUGUCACUGACAGAAAGACACAAAGGUCUGAUAAGAGGUAGUUGACUUUUAAAGGUUAGUGUUUUUCAUUUGAACAGACAUGUUUAUAUGUUGACAGAAAAAAGCAUUUCGUAAAAUUUCAUUUGGAAAUGCAUGAUGCAAAGGCAAUCUGUGUGGUGAUGUUUUCAUUAAAAUCUAUUUGACAAA